GGCACGAACGUUUUUAGGGUGAUGUGCUAAUGCAGGUCCUCUUAGAAAUAAAAAUGCAGCCAGGCGAAGUGGCUCAUGCCUGUAAUCCGAGCACUUUGGGAGGCCAAGGUGGGCAGGAUCACCUGAGUUCGGGGUUCGAAACCAGCCUGACCAACAUGGAGAAACCCAUCUCUACAAAAAAUACAAAAUUAGCCGGGCAUGGUGGCCCAUGCCUGUAAUCCCAGAUACUCAGGAGGCAGAGGCAGGAGAAUCACUUGAACACAGGAGACGGAGUUUGCAGUGAGCCAAGAUCUCGCCAGUGCACUCCAGCCUGGGCAACAAGAGUGAGACUCUGUCUCAAAAAAAUAAAUAAAUAAGAAAAAUAAAAAGGAAAGAAAGAAAAAAAAUGCAAAGGCAGAAUUAGUUGUGUAAGAAUUUUAUUAGGGGAAAUGAUUGUGAGAGAAAACAGGAGAGAAGCUGCACCAUGAUGUAAAUCUAACACUGAGUAAAGAACAAAAGGCAGCCCAGGGAACAAAGUGAGACUCUGUCUCUACAAAAAAAUACAAAAACUAACUGGGUGUGGUGGCACGUGCCUGUAGUCCCUGCUACUUGGGAGGCAGAGGCUGGAGGAUCACUUGAGCCGGGGAGGCAGAGGUUGCAGUGAGCCAAGAUUGUGCCACUGCACUUCAGCCUGGGUGACAGAGUGAGACCCUGUCUCAACAACAACAACAGCAACAACAACACAACAACAAAGGAAGAUUUGAUAAAAUCAUUCUAGACUUCCAUACAGCUUAAGAAAAGUUACAUUAGGCCAGGUGCAGUGGCUUACACCUGUAACCCAGCACUUUGGGAAGCCAAGGCGGGCGGAUCACCUGAGGUCAGGAGUUCAAGACCCACCUGGCCAACAUGGUGAAACACCGUCUCUACUAAAAAUACAAAGAUUAGCUGGGUGUGGUGGCAUGUCUGUAAUCCCAGCUAUUUGGGAGACUGAGGCAGGAGAAUCCUUUGAACCCUGGAGGUGGAGGUUGCAGUGAGCCGAGAUCGCACCACUGCACUCCAGCCUGUAUAACAGAGCGAGACUAAAUUUCAAAAAAAAGAAAGAAAAGUUAUAUUAAAGAAAAAGCCAUUAAAGUCAGGUAUUCACAAUCUUAUCUAUCCAACAGAGAAGAUCCAUGUCUCCCUGAACAGGUCUACCUUAGAAUCCUUACUGCUCUCAGAUAUUGACUGGGAGCAGCAGCCUUCAGAAAAUCUGGCCUUGAUGCAAACACAGGAUUGACCUUAAAACACAACAAUAGGGGUCUUUGGUUACUUGCAUUAAAAUAUUUGUGAAAUACAUUUUCAUGGCUACCACAUGCUGGUUAUGUGCAGUUUCUUGAUACAGAUGCUGGUAUUUUGAGUGUGUUGAAAAUUAAACAAUCAUGACACAUAUGACAUAUACAUUUUUCUACAUAUAUUUAUACUUCAAUGAAAAUUUAAAAUAUGUGGUGCUAUUCAGAUACUGGACAAUUCAAUGUUGUAAAGCUAUCAGUGCUCCUUUGAAUAAUCUAUAUAUUUAAUAAAAUUCUCAGCAGUUUUUUGGUGAAAACUGGCAAGCUGAGUCUAAAAUCUGUAAACAAAAGCAACAGUCAAGAAUAACCAAAACAUCAAAAGAAAAUAGAAAGAGGUGGGUUUAUGCGAUAAGACAUCAAGACAUUUUAUGUAUUUGCAGUAAUUAAAAGUGUGCUAUAUAUGCAAAUAUGAAUAGACUAAUGGAAGAUAAUAGAAAGUUCAGAAACAGAUUUACAUAUAUCUAGUCAUUUGAUAUUUGACAAAGAUAAUAAAAUGGAGAAAUCUCUUAAGAAGUGAGGAUAUUGUAUAUUCUUCACAUAGAAAAAUAAUUAAUCUUGACCUUUAGCACAUCCCAUAUGUAAAUAUCAAUAUGAUAUGGAAUAUAGAUCUUAAAAUUAAAAGAUUUUUUUAAAUAGCUACUAAAAUAUCUUUGUGACCUUCUCUAAUGUUGGCAACGAUUUUUUAAAGUACCAACUGAAAAGUAAAAUUAAAAAACUUAAAAUGAGAAUGGUUGUUUAUCAAAUGUACCAUAAGGAAAGUGAAAAUGCUGGCCACAGUUGAAAAGAUAAUCACAAUACACACAUAUGUCAAAAGGCUUGUAAGCAGAAUAUAAAGAAAUCCUAUAAAUACAAGAAUAAGACUGACAACCAAAUAGACAAAUCAACAAAUCACUUGAGUAAGCACUAUAUGAAGAAUAUACAAAUGUACAAGGCUUCAGAUACAUGCUCUGUUUGCUCAACUUCAUUAGUCAUUACAGCAGUAUAAAUUAAACCCUCAAUGAGACAACUCUAUUGCCAUACCAGAAUCACUGAUUUUUUAAAAAUUACUCGUGUAUAACUGACAUGUUAUAUCUUUUGACCAAUAUGUCCCAACCCCUCCACUCCAGCCCCUGGUAACCAGCAUUAUACUCUACUUCUUUUAAAAAAUUAGAAUGGUGAAUUUAAAAAAUAAUUUAAAAAUAAUUUAAGUCUGACAACACCAAACAUUGGCAAGCACGUGGAGCAGAUGGAACUCUACCACGGUCCUUGUAAGAGUGUAAAUUGGUACAAUCACUUUGGAAAAUGUUUCACAGUAUCUGCUAGAGUUAAAUUUAUGUAUUCUCCAUGACACAGAAAUUCCACUUCUAGCAAGCAGAAACACACACACAUGUGCACCCCGAAAUAUAUACAAGAUUUCACCCAUGGGAUGUAGUGUGCCUACACUUGCUCUACAGUAACAAAAUAAGUAAACAAUUGCUAUAAAACAGCAGCAUAGUUCAAUCUCACAAACAUAAUGUUGGGCAAAACAGAGACACAAAAGGAUAUAUACAAUAUGGUUUCAUAUAUAUAAAGAUAAAAGGAAAAGUAGUCAAUGGUGAUAGAAGUUAGGAAAGUGAUUAUAGUUGAGAGAGAGGGGUAGUGUCUGAAAAGGAGCAGAAAUGGUUCAAUAUCAGUCAGGGUUCAAUCAGAGAAGCAGAAUCACUAGGAUUUUAGGGACAAGGACAUUUUAAAGUAGGAAUUAGGUAAACAAACAUGGGAAGACAAAUCAGAGAUGGUAGGACUUCUGAGAAUUGAGGCAUGUCCCACUACUGAAAUGGAACUGUUAACAGGAAUCAUGGUAAGUUUAGUGAAUUCUAUCAACAUGAGCCCAAUGGAUACAAUUCAUUUUUUGAAAAAUGACUGCCCUGGUCACAAGAAAUGCUGGGUGGAAUUCCAUGGCAGAAAAUAAAACAUUUUGUAAAGUCCACAUGUGAUGCUUUUAUCAGAAACAUUGGAAUAGGAAAGGCAAAUUCAUAUCUAGAGUAAUUGUCUUUUCCACUGAAAACAAAGUGCUGUCUCCUCCAUGAUCAAAGUGGUCCGGUGUAAUCAAAUUCCAGCAGGAGGUUGGUAGUCCCCUUUGAAGAACAGUGCCUAUCUGAGGUCCAGUGUUAGUCCAUACUUUUGAUAGCUUGGCCAUAUAAAUGUGGUUGUAGCCAGAUUGGAUUUAGUAAAUGGAAUUUCAUAGUACUGAACUAAUAAGCUCCAUUUCUUCCACCAUGACUACACUGUUCAUGCACCCACUGGGAAUGGACAUGGUUGACUAGAGAAAAAUCUUGAAGAAUAUUCACAGAAUGUACCAUCUUGAUCACCUGAUUAUUAAGCUCAUCUUCUGGUGAGGUUGCUGAUUAUUGACAAUUAAAUAGGCCGCAAGUAAUUUUAUAUUCUGCUCAUUAAAAGUAGUCCACUCACAUACCUCAUUGUCAAUUUGCCUUGUCAACCAAUUAUCAAUCAUGCUUCUUUGAAGUCCAUGACCAUCCAGCAAAACUAUUCAUCCCCCUGGCAUCAUUCCUUCUGGGAAAAAAAAAAACUAUGAAGUACACUACUCAAAAUUCUAACAAAUGGGAAUAUUUUCUUUUACCACUCUCCUUUGGGGCCACCACAGCCUGAGGCUGUAGUGUGCCAGCUGUCCGGUUUUAGGUGAUGCUAGAACAUUAUGCAGAAUUACCUAUAAAGCAGGUCCACAUGUUUCUUCUUCAUUCAAUUGAUUAUAGCAAACUCCUCAUGAAGUCAAAUGUAUGGACUAAAAGACUGGUGUCACCAAGUCAGCUGACCUCAAACAGGCCAGCAUCCCCUGGAAUCUAGUGAGGUACCAACAUUGACCCCUUUUGUGGCCUCUGCUUCUAUGGCCUUCCUUCUCUGCUCUGGUGAAUCUCUGCUUAGAUUCUCAGACGUCCUUCGUUUGGUAAGUUCUUUUGACUUUAUUCAGGAUCUGGAUUUGGCUAUAAGGCCACCUUAAAUUAAGGACCUUGCAACCCUUGUGGGACUACAAAAGACUUUUUGUCUUUUCUGGAAAGCCUCUUCUGGUAUAAGGCCAAGUGUUCUUUUGGAGAGUACUCUGGUUCCCACAGAACUUACGUUCUGUGAGGCAUGUAUUUUCUACUGAAUUUGCUUUGGUUUUUCUGCAAACACGGUUUUAUAUUUUGUUUGCUCUGCAAGCCUGGCUUAAAAUUUUUGUGAGCACGCUUCAUUUGGUUUCAUGUCAAUUUGGUUACAUGCAACUGUAAAUAAUUUGGCUCUUUUGUUUUCCCUGCUUGUUUCUGAACACUUUCAAAGAGCAAAAAUAAACAUUCUAAAUGGCACAGUAUAUUACUGUUUUAAUGUAUCAUGACUAAAAUUUUAAAGGGAAAAGGGAAAAUAUCUUUUUGUGUUGUCUGUAUGUUCUUGUGUCUAUAUAUGUAUGUAAUAUUUUCUACCAAAAUGUAUGAAAGAGCUCUAUUUAACUGACUUAAAGAAAAAAAUUAAGCACUUAAGUAAUUUAUCAGAAAAAUAGUAGUUAACUCACAUUUUUUUAAAGUUCACAUGACUUAGGUAAAUCUUUGGUAAAUAAACUGAUUUUAGUGGACAAUUAAAGCCACUAGGACCAGGCAUGGUGGCUUGUGCCUGUAAUCCCAGCCAGCUGGGAGGCUGAGAUGAGAGAAAUACAUGAAACCAGGACUUCCAAACCAGCCUGGGCAACAUAACAAGACCCUGUCUCUAAAAAUAUUUCUUUAGAAAUUAGCCAGAUGUGGUGAUGCACGCGUGUCUCCCCAGCUACUCAGGAGGCUGCGAUAACAGGAUCACUUUGCCCAGGAGUUCAACGCUGUAGUGAGCUGUGAUUGUACCACUGCACUCCAGCCUGGGCAACAGAGUGAGACCUUGUAUCUAAACAACAACAGUAACAACAAAAUAAGAAUAAUAAUAAAUGCCACUAGGAACGUCACUGCCAUCUAUGACGGACUCCAGUCUCCAAAGAAAACGUCUCCCAUGUAAGGAUAAAAUAGUCACAGACAAGGAAGAUUACCACUGAGGCACCUGCCAGUCUCAAGAAAAUUUCUACACAACCAGGGAAAACUUGGUCAUAGGUUAGACAACUAGGACAAAGGCCAUCUGCCAAGUAUAAAAAGAUGAAUUCUGUGUCAGGUACACUAGUUAAAACAAAACAGCUUGGUCAAUGCUUUUGACAAAAUUUUUGGGCUUUUCUUUGCUCUUGAGAGAUUGAUAAGAAAUGCAAUGGGAUCUUCAACUUCUAAAGAAUGCCAAGCCCUCUGGCACUUGAGGCAGCUAUACAUUUGAAAUUUAUGGUCCUUUCUCAUGCACAUUUAAAAAAUAAUUGGCAAAUUACACUAAGGAUAAUGUACGGCCAUUAUGGGAAUUAUUUAAACUCUCUAAGCUUGUUUCCUUAGAGCUGAAUUAAGAGACUGGAACUGUAGGAUUAACAUGUACGGGCUUCUAAGCUAGCUCUCUUUUUUUCUCUGCUCGCUCUGAAUCUGCUAACUUGUUUGCUUGUAUUAAAUUUGUUAAUAAGUUCAAGGAUUCUUGGAAGUUUAUUUUUCUAGCCAAUCCUAACUGAAAUGUAAAUAUCCAGAAGUUAAUUAAAAC
rnacentral:lncRNA from 1 species